AUUGAACGCUGGCGGGAUGCUUUACACAUGCAAGUCGAACGGCAGCACGGGGGCAACCCUGGUGGCGAGUGGCGAACGGGUGAGUAAUAUAUCGGAACGUGCCCAGUCGUGGGGGAUAACGUAGCGAAAGUUACGCUAAUACCGCAUACGAUCUAAGGAUGAAAGCGGGGGAUCGCAAGACCUCGCGCGAUUGGAGCGGCCGAUAUCAGAUUAGGUAGUUGGUGGGGUAAAGGCUCACCAAGCCAACGAUCUGUAGCUGGUCUGAGAGGACGACCAGCCACACUGGAACUGAGACACGGUCCAGACUCCUACGGGAGGCAGCAGUGGGGAAUUUUGGACAAUGGACGCAAGUCUGAUCCAGCCAUUCCGCGUGCAGGAUGAAGGCCCUCGGGUUGUAAACUGCUUUUGUACAGAACGAAAAGGUUUCUACUAAUACUAGGAGCUCAUGACGGUACUGUAAGAAUAAGCACCGGCUAACUACGUGCCAGCCGCCGCCGUAA
rnacentral:rRNA from 1 species